rfam:Ictidomys tridecemlineatus contig001413, whole genome shotgun sequence.
UGGGAUGUGGCUCAGUGGUAGAGCGCUCGCCUAGCAAGUGCGGGGCCCUGGAUUCGAUCCUCAGUACCACAU